CAAAAACAUUGCUUUUUGGAAGAAUAAGAAGUAUGGUCUGCCCAGUGAAGGAUUUAACGGCCGCAAUAUUUGUGCGAAGGUAGCAUAAUCAUUUGUCUUUUAAUUGAUGACUGGAAUGAAUGGCUGGACGGGGAAAAGCUGUCUCAAAUAUAUAAAUUAUAAAUUAACUUUCAAGUCAAAAGGCUUGAAUAUAAUAGAGGGACGAGAAGACCCUAUUGAGUUUUAUAUCUAAGUUUUUAAUUUUUCAUAAGAUUUAAAUUUUAGAUAUUUAGUUGGGGCGACUUUUUAAUAUAAUCUAGAUUAGAAUUUAUUGACUAGAAAGUUUUUUAUUGAUCCAUAAAUUAUGAUAGCUAGAUUAAAUUACCUUAGGGAUAACAGCGUAAUAUUUUUUUAGAGUUCAAAUCGAUUAAAAAGAUUGCGACCUCGAUGUUGGAUUAAGGGACCUAGUUAGGAGAAGAAGUUAAGUUAGGUAGUCUGUUCGACUAUUAAAUCUUUAC
rnacentral:rRNA from 1 species